AACGAACGCUGGCGGCAUGCCUAACACAUGCAAGUCGAACGAGACCUUCGGGUCUAGUGGCGCACGGGUGCGUAACGCGUGGGAACCUGCCUUUAGGUUCGGAAUAACUCAGAGAAAUUUGAGCUAAUACCGGAUGAUGUCUUCGGACCAAAGAUUUAUCGCCUUUAGAUGGGCCCGCGUUGGAUUAGCUAGUUGGUGGGGUAAAGGCCUACCAAGGCGACGAUCCAUAGCUGGUCUGAGAGGAUGAUCAGCCACACUGGGACUGAGACACGGCCCAGACUCGUACGGGAGGCAGCAGUGGGGAAUAUUGGACAAUGGGCGAAAGCCUGAUCCAGCAAUGCCGCGUGAGUGAUGAAGGCCUUAGGGUUGUAAAGCUCUUUUACCCGAGAUGAUAAUGACAGUAUCGGGAGAAUAAGCACCGGCUAACUCCGUG
rnacentral:rRNA from 1 species